rnacentral:rRNA from 1 species
UGGCGGACGGGUGAGUAACGCGUGGGUAACCUGCCUCAUACAGGGGGAUAACAGUUAGAAAUGACUGCUAAUACCGCAUAAGACCACAGCACCGCAUGGUGCAGGGGUAAAAACUCCGGUGGUAUGAGAUGGACCCGCGUCUGAUUAGGUAGUUGGUGAGGUAACGGCCCACCAAGCCGACGAUCAGUAGCCGACCUGAGAGGGUGACCGGCCACAUUGGGACUGAGACACGGCCCAG